AUUGAACGCUGGCGGCAGGCUUAACACAUGCAAGUCGAGCGAGCGGCGGACGGGUGAGUAAUGUCUGGGAAACUGCCUGAUGGAGGGGGAUAACUACUGGAAACGGUAGCUAAUACCGCAUACCAGCAUAUGUGUCCAGAUGGGAUUAGCUAGUAGGUGGGGUAAUGGCUCACCUAGGCGACGAUCCCUAGCUGGUCUGAGAGGAUCACAAGCCAAAAGUGAAAGGAAACAAGGUCAAGAAUCCUAAGGGGAGCAGCAGUGGGGAAUGUUGACAAAUGGGGGCAAGCCUGAUGCAGCCAUGCCGAGUUUUGUAAGAAGGCCUUCGGGUUGUAAAGCACUUUCAGCGAGGAGGCGUUACUCGCAGAAGAAGCACCGGCUAACUCCGUGCCAGCCGCCGCGGUAAUAC
rnacentral:rRNA from 1 species